UAAGGAAUAUUGGUCAAUGGACGCAAGUCUGAACCAGCCAUGCCGCGUGAAGGAUUAAGGUCCUCUGGAUUGUAAAGCUUCUUUUAUCUUGGGACGAAAAAAGGCAGAUUCUUCGUCACUUGACGGUACCAGAUGAAUAAGCACCGGCUAACUCCGUGCCAGCAGCCGCGGUAAUACGGAGGGUGCAAGCGUUAUCCGGAUUCACUGGGUUUAAAGGGUGCGUAGGCGGGCAGGUAAGUCAGUGGUGAAAUCCCUGGAGCUUAACUCCAGAACUGCCAUUGAUACUAUCUGUCUUGAAUAUUGUGGAGGUAAGCGGAAUAUGUCAUGUAGCGGUGAAAUGCUUAGAUAUGACAUAGAACACCUAUUGCGAAGGCAGCUUACUACGCAUAUAUUGACGCUGAGGCACGAAAGCGUGGGGAUCAAACAGGAUUAGAUACCCUGGUAGUCCACGCCCUAAACGAUGGAUACUCGACAUACGCGAUACACUGUGUGUGUCUGAGCGAAAGCAUUAAGUAUCCCCACCUGGGGAAGUACGACCGCAAGGUUGAAACUCAAAUGAAUUGACGGGGUCAUAGCUGUUUCCUG
rnacentral:rRNA from 1 species